rnacentral:rRNA from 1 species
ACAAGCGGUGGAUGAUGUGGAUUAAUUCGAUGCAACGCGAAAACCUUACCUACCCUUGACAUGUCCGGAAUCCUGCAGAGAUGCGGGAGUGCCCGAAAGGGAAUCGGAACACAGGUGCUGCAUGGCUGUCGUCAGCUCGUGUCGUGAGAUGUUGGGUUAAGUCCCGCAACGAGCGCAACCCUUAUCAUUAGUUGCUACGCAAGGGCACUCUAAUGAGACUGCCGGUGACAAACCGGAGGAAGGUGGGGAUGACGUCAAGUCCUCAUGGCCUUUAUGACCAGGGCUACACACGUACUACAAUGGCCGGUACAAAGGGCAGCGACACAGCGAUGUGAAGCGAAUCCCGAAAAGCCGGUCUCAGUCCGGAUUGGAGUCUGCAACUCGACUCCAUGAAGUUGGAAUCGCUAGUAAUCGCGGAUCAGCAUGUCACGGUGAAUACGUUCCCGGGUCUU